GACAGCAGCCGCCGCGGGAAUACGUAGGGUGCAAGCGUUAUCCGGAAUUAUUGGGCGUAAAGAGCUCGUAGGCGGUUUGUCGCGUCUGCUGUGAAAACUGGAGGCUCAACCUCCAGCCUGCAGUGGGUACGGGCAGACUAGAGUGCGGUAGGGGAGAUUGGAAUUCCUGGUGUAGCGGUGGAAUGCGCAGAUAUCAGGAGGAACACCGAUGGCGAAGGCAUAUCUCUGGGCCGUAACUGACGCUGAGGAGCGAAAGCAUGGGGAGCGAACAGGAUUAGAUACCCCAGUAGUCCCUGUCUCUUAUAA
rnacentral:rRNA from 1 species